GAUGAACGCUGGCGGCGUGCCUAAUACAUGCAAGUCGAGCGAACCACUUCGGUGGUGAGCGGCGAACGGGUGAGUAACACGUAGGUGAUCUGCCCAUCAGACGGGGACAACGAUUGGAAACGAUCGCUAAUACCGGAUAGGACGAAAGUUUAAAGGUGCUUCUGGCACCGCUGAUGGAUGAGCCUGCGGCGCAUUAGCUAGUUGGUAGGGUAAAGGCCUACCAAGGCGACGAUGCGUAGCCGACCUGAGAGGGUGAACGGCCACACUGGGACUGAGACACGGCCCAGACUCCUACGGGAGGCAGCAGUAGGGAAUCUUCGGCAAUGGGCGAAAGCCUGACCGAGCAACGCCGCGUGAAUGAUGAAGGCCU
rnacentral:rRNA from 1 species